rnacentral:lncRNA from 1 species
CACACAAUACUCCCCCUUUUUAUUCAUAAUCUGACAAAGGUAAGCAUCUAACCAGAACCUGAAACAAAAUCAUAUUCAUACAGUGUAAGAACCCUCAUAAGGGGGCACACAAGGGUGCAAAAUAUCUAGGUCACAGACCAAAAAAACAAACAAAACACAAUAAGACUAAAAUCAGAUAUCUUCCUGACUAUCCGAGUCAGUUGUUGCAUACUCUUCUCCUUCAUCUUCU